rnacentral:rRNA from 1 species
CCUACGGGAGGCAGCAGUGAGGAAUUUUCCGCAAUGGGCGAAAGCCUGACGGAGCAAUACCGCGUGAGGGAUGAAGGAUUUUGGUCUGUAAACCUCUUUUCUCAAGAAAGAAGUUCUGACGGUACUUGAGGAAUAAGCAUCGGCUAACUCCGUGCCAGCAGCCGCGGUAAUACGGGGGAUGCAAGCGUUAUCCGGAAUGAUUGGGCGUAAAGCGCCUGUAGGUUGUUUAUUAAGUCCGUUGUUAAAGCCUAGGGCUCAACCCUAGAAAAGCAAUGGAAACUAGUAGACUAGAGUAUGGCAGGGGUAGAGGGAAUUUCUAGUGUAGCGGUGAAAUGCGUAGAUAUUAGAAAGAACACCGGUGGCGAAAGCGCUCUACUGGACCAUUACUGACACUCAGAGGCGAAAGCUAGGGUAGCAAAAGGGAUUAGAUACCCCUGUAGUCCUAGCCGUAAACGAUGGAUACUAGAUGUUGUGCAUUAUGUACAGUAUCGUAGCUAACGCGUUAAGUAUCCCGCCUGGGGAGUACGCUCGCAAGGGUGAAACUUAAAGGAAUUGACGGCUGAGAGUGCGAGACGACACGAGGGAGGUAGG